UACUUACAAAGAUUAACACAAUAUAUCUGAUCACUUUUACCACGUAAUCUUUGAUUAGAAAAAAAUGCCUACUGCUAGCCUAGGCAUUCCUGCUCGUCAAAGAAAUGCUUUCAUUAGUGCCGUGCAGGUCCCUUUCAUUAGUGAGGUGGUUGGCGCAGAUGGGGAGGUACAACGUGACUGCCGCUGUCAUGGGUGUUUUGGUUGUUGUGACAACGUAAAAGCAUUGUGGGAAUUACUUGUGGAGAAAAUCAAAGAAUUGUUCUCAUGUUUUGGAUCAUGUUGUGGUAAGUGCUGUUGUUGUUGUCAUGGUGAUUGAUGAACCUGUUGGAGUAGUGCCACAUUGUCAAGGCAACUCGAGUUUGUGUGCUCUCGCAUUACUCCAAAUCCGCAGUUUGUUUGUUUGUUUAAUUUGUUUUGCUGUUUUCGGAAAUAAUUUGUUAUCUCGAUGUGACCUGUCUAGUCCACGGGUAUAGAGGUAACAAUGGCUGAAGUAAUCGCUUUUCUUAGGGGAUUGGAUUGUUUUUUUUAUGGCAUUUAUGGAAUACCUUUACCAAUAAUGUCCGUUUUUCUACCACAGUGACCUUUUUGUACAUGUAUUCGCCUGGAUAUUUUGAAUCAAUAAUAACGAUUGAAUAUUA